rnacentral:lncRNA from 1 species
UUUGUUUAUUUUUUAACCACGCAUUUUCCAUCAAUACACUAUUCAAAAAUGUAUUCUUAGAAAUAUAAUGUGACUCAAACAAGGCUUAAUUUAUGCAACUAAUCACGUGUAAUAACAUCAAUCUCACUUGAGCUUUUCGAAAGAAUAGCUGAAUUCUAACCCUUUAUUAAAUUUAAAUCCAACACCAAUGCAUCAUAACUCUCCAACCAAAAUAAAUUAAAUAUAAUUAAAUUUUCACAGUAAAGAGCAGAGAAAGAGAGACAAAAACAUGCUCAGUUCCACGCAAUGAAUCUAACAAGCUUUCCGCGGUUCAUUCUCGGAACAGAACGAAACACGAGUUCACCUAUUUGGUAUUUGUAAGGGAAAACACAAGCCUCUACAAGAAUUUGAAGAGAAAUUCGAGGUUCAGCAAUUGGGAAUUUGGAAGAAGCUUUAGCUUGAACAGCAGUGAUGUAAAUAAUCGGAAUCUUGAAGGAUAAGAAUGAAUGAAGUAAGGGAAGGACUUACUUAUUUGAUAAAGGAAUUCUGACCUCAUCUUAAUUGUCGAUGCAUCAUCCCUUAUGAGUAACAUCCCAAAUCUAGACACCUUAUACUUGGAGGUAUUAUCAUUUAUUUUUAUCUUAAAAUUAUAGUUGC